CAGGUGCAGCUUGUAGAGACCGGGGGAGGCUUGGUGAGGCCUGGAAAUUCUCUGAAACUCUCCUGUGUUACCUCGGGAUUCACUUUCAGUAACUACCGGAUGCACUGGCUUCGCCAGCCUCCAGGGAAGAGGCUGGAGUGGAUUGCUGUAAUUACAGUCAAAUCUGAUAAUUAUGGAGCAAAUUAUGCAGAGUCUGUGAAAGGCAGAUUCGCCAUUUCAAGAGAUGAUUCAAAAAGCAGUGUCUACCUAGAGAUGAACAGAUUAAGAGAGGAAGACACUGCCACUUAUUUUUGUAGUAGA